rnacentral:lncRNA from 1 species
UCAUUGCAUUAUACUACUAAGAUGUCCUUUUGAAAUUGUGUAUGGUCUCAUGUCUGUAAGUGCAUCUAGUGCCCUUAGUGAUUUUGGUGGUCUGAAGACUUAUAGGUUAAGGAACUAGUGUGUUUGUAAGUGUACACAGGCUAUAUAAGUCGCUGAGGAGUUUGAGUUAUACGAUGAAUAUAGACCCCUAAAAAUGAAUGUCUUCGGCUGAAGAAUUUGGUCUUAACUUGAAGACUUUGAUCGCGAAGAAAUUGCGAUGAAAUUGAUAUUCCUCAUGAAGAUAUUGAAGAUGAGGAACUUGGUGUGUCCUGGAGAAAAACAGUCAACAUCAUCAAGUGAGGAAAUACCCCAAACACCAAACCCCAAACCAAAAAACAAGUGAGGAAAUACCCCAAACCAAAAACCAAGUGAUUGAGCAUCACUGAAGAAUUUGUUCCUGUGUCAAACUGAAG